rnacentral:rRNA from 1 species
UACGUAGGGUGCGAGCGUUAAUCGGAAUUACUGGGCGUAAAGCGUGCGCAGGCGGUUCGUUAUGUCUGAUGUGAAAGCCCCGGGCUCAACCUGGGAACUGCAUUGGAAACUAGCGGGCUGGAGUGUGGCAGAGGGGGGUGGAAUUCCACGUGUAGCAGUGAAAUGCGUAGAGAUGUGGAGGAACACCGAUGGCGAAGGCAGCCCCCUGGGUCAACACUGACGCUCAUGCACGAAAGCGUGGGGAGCAAACAGG